CGGAGGGGCAGAGACACCAGAGCACCCACUUGCAGCGCUCACUUAUUAAAACACCUGAAGAGGAAGCAGAGCCUUGAAGAGUGUAAUCUACUUGAACGCCUGCGUUCUCAGGAAGCGAGGCAGGCUACCAGCCCUCUCGGAAACUGAGGCAACUCUCCAUAAAAUCAGUAGGGAAGGUGAGCUGGGAUUCAGAUGGUGGCCUGAACUCUUCACCAGGACUCUUCACUGACCCCUGGGCGUUCCAGGUUUCUAGAAUUAAGAGGAAGGGGAGGAAAACUCUAAGUUAACUUCACCAACUAUACUCAUGGGACAAUAGAAUGAGCUGCCUUGUGAAGAUGUGACCGCAUCACCACUGGAGGUAUACUAUAGACUGAUUGUUCAUCUAAAGGAAAUGUAGGAAAAUAAUUCCUAGAUUUGGUUGGAUUUUGGAGUAAAUUGCCUCACAGAAUACUUCCAGCAGUAACAUUCUAUGACAUAACUAAAUACGUUAUCCUCAAAUUUAUCUUUAAAAAAUAUAAACCGCAAUUUUCCAAAAGUAUUUACAAACAACUAG
rnacentral:lncRNA from 1 species